AUAGGUCGGUAGUUAAAGGUUAAACUGAUUUUUGUGACCAGACGGGAUGUUCGGGGCUCGCUCCACUCCCGUCACGGGUCGGCCCGGCAUUGCAGUGCCGCCGGGAUCGGCCCACAUAAU